UAGCCAAUAUUCAUAAUUUCAACUACAAAAAUGAUACACACACAUAUAUAUAGCAUAAUCAUAACCAGCAAAUCAUAACCUUUUUAUAGACACCUUACACGACAACAUUUGUACAAUAUUUGCUGCAAAUAUAUAGCAGUGGUUGCAACAAUGAUCUAUACGGACAGAGCUUUUGUCAGUUACAUA